UACGUAGGGGGCGAGCGUUGUCCGGAAUUAUUGGGCGUAAAGAGCGUGUAGGCGGUUCGGUAAGUCUGCCGUGAAAACCUGGGGCUCAACCCUGGGCGUGCGGUGGAUACUGCCGGGCUAGAGGAUGGUAGAGGCGAGUGGAAUUCCCGGUGUAGCGGUGAAAUGCGCAGAUAUCGGGAGGAACACCAGUAGCGAAGGCGGCUCGCUGGGCCAUUCCUGACGCUGAGACGCGAAAGCUAGGGGAGCGAACAGGAUUAGAAACCCUCGUAGUCC
rnacentral:rRNA from 1 species